rnacentral:rRNA from 1 species
UACGUAGGUGGCAAGCGUUGUCCGGAAUUAUUGGGCGUAAAGCGCGCGCAGGUGGUUCCUUAAGUCUGAUGUGAAAGCCCACGGCUCAACCGUGGAGGGUCAUUGGAAACUGGGGAACUUGAGUGCAGGAGAGAAGAGUGGAAUUCCACGUGUAGCGGUGAAAUGCGUAGAGAUGUGGAGGAACACCAGUGGCGAAGGCGACUCCUUGGCCUGAGUAACUGACACU